AUGGGCCAUCCAGCCCAACCCCCAGGAAAUUGCAUUCAAAGCACCCCCGACAGAUGGCCAUCCAGCCUCUGCUUAAAAGCCUCCAAAGAAGGAGCCUCCACCACGGCCCGGGGGAGAGAGUUCCACUGCCGAACAGCCCUUCUCACCGUGAGGAAGGCUCCUUCUUUGGAGGCUUUUAAGCAGAGGCUGGAUGGCCAUCUGUCGGGGGUGCUUUGAAUGCGAUUUCCUGCUUCUUAGCAGGGGGUUGGACUGGAUGGCCCAUGAGGUCUCUUCCAGCUCUACUAUUCUAUGAUUCUAUGAUUCUAUGAAAGAAACUGUAGAAAUGAAUUAUAUACACAUGCCUACUGCCUACAUAGUAGAAUUAAUGCAGUUCGAUAUCGCUUUAACUAUCAUGACUCCAUGCUAUUGAAUCAUGGGCACUGUAGUUUUAUAAGGUCUUUUGCCUCAACAGAACUACAACUCCCAGGAUCCCAUAGAAUGUCAGUUCAAGUGGUGCUAAAACAGUGUUAAUUCUACCUAUAAUUUCCCCAUAAGAAAUAAUUAACAUAUACCAUAACAGCAGCCCCCAGCUCAAAGCCAUAUGGCCCUGACAACAGUUGCUAUUAGAAUAUAAAUGUUCUGAGCACAACACUGUGGCUGAGUGAUUGCACUAUAAUGUUUCACUCUCAGGAGCCAUUGGCGCAUUAAUGCAUCUGCCAGCAAUCAAGAUUAAUACAUGUUUUAAUGAUACUGCCGCAGUUUGACCAGGGAGAUUAUCACAUUGGCAGGCUGGCAGCAAAGCCUGCAGGUUGAGUCCCAAAUUACCUCUUUUUAGGGCUGUUCUAGUUCUUCUAUGACAGCCACAUGCUCAGGUUGCUUCACUGCGCCACAACAUGUCUCACCUCUCUAAGUUGGAAGAAUCUGAAAUGUAAUUAAGGGAAUUAAGGCUGAAGGCAAUGAAGGCCACAUCUAUGCUGUAGAAUGAAUACAGUUUGAUGCCACUUCAACUGCCGUGGCUCAAUAUUAUGGAAUCCCAAGAUCUGUAGCUUGGAGAGGUGCUAGCAUUCUUUUGCAGAGAAGGUUAAAGGCAUGUUGUUGAAGGCUUUCAUGGCUAGAAUCACAGGGUUGCUGUGAGUUUUCCAGGCUGUAUGGCCAUGUUCCAGAAGCAUUCUCUCCUGACAUUUCACCCACAUCUAUGGCAGGCUUCUUCAGAGCUUGUGAGGUCUGUUGGAAACAGUAAAUAAAGAACAACACUCAGAAAACAGGGGAAUUCUAGACAAGAAACAAUCAGGGCCAGCUAACACCUCCCAACAAUGGAUCCCCCCAGGCAGGAAGCAACCAGGCUUUGAAGCUGCAAGGCUAUUCAAUGCUAUUCAAGGUGGCCAAUUGCAACAUUGACACUUGCCUCAAACAGACAAGAGUUCUUUCUCCCAAACUGGACAUCAUUUCAUAGAUACAGUAGAGUCUCACUUAUCCAACACUCGCUUAUCCAACAUUCUGGAUUAUCCAACACAUUUUUGUAGUCAAUGUUUUCAAUAUAUCAUGAUAUUUUGGUGCUAAAUUCGUAAAUACAGUAAUUACUACAUAGUAUUACUGCAUAUUCUGUCAAAUCUGUUGUAUAACAUGAUGUUUUGGUGCUUAAUUUGUAAAAUCAUAACCUAAUUUGAUGUUUAAUAGGCUUUUCCUUAAUCUCUCCUUAUCAUCCAACAUAUUCGCUUAUCCAACGUUCUGCCGGCCCGUUUACACUGGAUAAGCGAGACUCUACUGUAUAUAAAUCCCACUUGACUAGUUUCCAACAGACCUCACAACUUCAGAGUAUGCCUGUCGUAGAUGUGGGUGAAACGUCAGGAGAGAAUGCUGCUGGAACAUGGCCAGACAGCCAGAAAACGCACAGCAACCCAA
ensembl:lncRNA